rnacentral:rRNA from 1 species
AGAGUUUGAUCCUGGCUCAGGAUGAACGCUAGCUACAGGCUUAACACAUGCAAGUCGCGGGGCAGCAUGGGGGUUGCUUGCAACCCCUGAUGGCGACCGGCGCACGGGUGAGUAACGCGUAUCCAACCUGCCCUUCACCACGGGAUAACCCGGCGAAAGUCGGACUAAUACCGUAUGUUGUCCAUUGACGGCAUCCGAUUUGGACGAAAGGCUUAGCGGUGAGGGAUGGGGAUGCGUCCGAUUAGCUUGACGGCGGGGUAACGGCCCACCGUGGCGACGAUCGGUAGGGGUUCUGAGAGGAAGGUCCCCCACACUGGAACUGAGACACGGUCCAGACUCCUACGGGAGGCAGCAGUGAGGAAUAUUGGUCAAUGGGCGUAAGCCUGAACCAGCCAAGUAGCGUGCAGGAUGACGGCCCUAUGGGUUGUAAACUGCUUUUAUGCGGGGAUAAAGUGGCCCACGUGUGGGUUUUUGCAGGUACCGCAUGAAUAAGGACCGGCUAAUUCCGUGCCAGCAGCCGCGGUAAUACGGAAGGUCCGGGCGUUAUCCGGAUUUAUUGGGUUUAAAGGGAGCGUAGGCCGCCCCUUAAGCGUGUUGUGAAAUGCGGGUGCUCAACAUCCGACUUGCAGCGCGAACUGGGGGGCUUGAGUGCGCCGAAAGUAGGCGGAAUUCGUGGUGUAGCGGUGAAAUGCUUAGAUAUCACGAAGAACUCCGAUUGCGAAGGCAGCUUACUGUAGCGCAACUGACGCUGAUGCUCGAAAGCGUGGGUAUCGAACAGGAUUAGAUACCCUGGUAGUCCACGCGGUAAACGAUGGAUGCUCGUUGUCGGCCUGUAUGGUCGGUGACCAAGCGAAAGCGUUAAGCAUCCCACCUGGGGAGUACGCCGGCAACGGUGAAACUCAAAGGAAUUGACGGGGGCCCG